rnacentral:miRNA from 2 species
AAAAUGCACCUACCUGGUAUGCA